GCACUCUUAUUUUUCAUUAUGUACAUGCCUGCAAUUCGCAGCUCGCUGUUUUUGUUGUUGUAUGGUAUUGUUGUUUUGCCUUCAUUUGUUUUGUCUGGUCCUUUGUAGUUUGAAUGUUGUCACAUGAUCCAAAUAGGACAAGCUGCAAGAUCACCACCCCAUUGGGAAGAAACUAAAUCACGACCCCCAAAUGGUAGUCUUCCCAUGCAGAUACAGGGAUGUCACACAGAUCCAAAUGGAAACAUCGAACACUGUAAAACCCACUGUGCAGACAGGACCAAUGGUGACAAUAUAAGACCAUGCCGAGUUUCAUGGACGGUUCAAACUCAUCCUGCCCAGGAAUGGCUGAAAACGUUGACAGUCAAUCAACAGCGGGACAUGGAAAGAGAGGAUUGGAAGUGAAAUAGAGGGUUUUUCGGGACAGCCAUAGGGGAAGGACUGUGGCAUCUUCAUGUUGAUGACUGAUAUGCCAAUUCUGAGGAAGUGGUGGUGUAUAUUGCUAGCGGACAAUUUCAAACUUGGGUGCAUGGUGAGCCACAGGAAAGAGUUUGCCCAUUGGACAGAUAAGGCAAAAGCAUUACUGCAGGGUGAAGUGCCACCAGUCUAUCAGCUACAGAAGUGAAAUUUGAAUAUAAUUGCUGAGGAAGAGGUGCAACCACAGCUCCUUCAAGUUAGUGGUCGCCCACUCCAAAAAGAUGGCGG